rnacentral:rRNA from 1 species
UGGCGGUAUGNUUAAGACGUGCAAGUCGUGCGGUAGAGGCUUCGGCCUUGAGAGCGGCGGACGGGUGAGUAACACGUGGGAAUCUGCCUAUUAGUGGGGGACAGCCCAGCGAAAGCUGGAUUAAUACCGCAUACGCCCUACGGGGGAAAGCAGCAAUGCGCUAAUAGAUGAGCCCGCGUAAGAUUAGCUAGUUGGUAAGGUAAAGGCUUACCAAGGCGACGAUCUUUAGCUGGUCUGAGAGGAUGACCAGCCACAUCGGGACUGAGACACGGCCCGGACUCCUACGGGAGGCAGCAGUCGGGAAUAUUGGACAAUGGGCGCAAGCCUGAUCCAGCAAUACCGCGUGUGUGAAGAAGGCCUGCGGGUUGUAAAGCAC